UACAGAGGUCCCGAGCGUUGUUCGGAUUCAUUGGGCGUAAAGGGUGCGUAGGCGGCUUCCUAAGUUUGAUGUGAAAUCCUGGGGCUCAACCCUGGAACUGCAUUGAAUACUGGGAGGCUAGAGUACUGGAGAGGAAACUGGAAUUUACGGUGUAGCAGUGAAAUGCGUAGAGAUCGUAAGGAAGACCAGUGGCGAAGGCGAGUUUCUGGACGGUAACUGACGCUGAGGCACGAAGGCCAGGGGAGCAAACGGG
rnacentral:rRNA from 1 species